UUUAGGAAUAUUCGUCAAUGGGGGAAACCCUGAACGAGCAAUGCCGCGUGAGUGAUGACGGUCCUUUGGAUUGUAAAACUCUGUUGUUAAGGAAAAUGAUAAGAAUAGGAAAUGAUUCUUAUUUGAUGGUACUUUUCAAGAAAGCCACGGCUAACUACGUGCCAGCAGCCGCGGUAAUACGUAGGUGGCGAGCGUUAUCCGGAUUUAUUGGGCGUAAAGCGUGCGCAGACGGUUUAUUAAGUUUGAAAUCAAAGCCUGGAGCUUAACUCCAGUUAGUUUCAAAACUGGUAGGCUAGAGUGUGGUAGAGGCAAAUGGAAUUUCUAGUGUAGCGGUAAAAUGCGUAGAUAUUAGAAGGAACA
rnacentral:rRNA from 1 species